AGGACGAACGCUGGCGGCGUGCUUAACACAUGCAAGUCGAGCGGAAAGGCCCUUCGGGGUACUCGAGCGGCGAACGGGUGAGUAACACGUGAGCAAUCUGCCCUUAGCUUCGGGAUAGCUCCGGGAAACCGGAAUUAAUACCGGAUAUGACUAUGGCUGACAUCAGCCACGGUGGAAAGUUUUUUCGGCUAGGGAUGAGCUCGCGGCCUAUCAGCUAGUUGGUGGGGUAACGGCCUACCAAGGCGACG
rnacentral:rRNA from 1 species